GGAAGGCCGAAGCUCAGCGGUAGAACAUCUGCUCUGUGUGCAGGAGGUCGCAGGUUCAAUCCCUGGUGUCUCCA